rnacentral:rRNA from 1 species
GAUGAACGCUAGCGGCAGGCUUAACACAUGCAAGUCGAGGGGCAGCGGGGUGUAGCAAUACACUGCCGGCGACCGGCGCACGGGUGCGUAACGCGUAUGCAACCUACCCAUAACAGGGGCAUAACACUGAGAAAUUGGUACUAAUUCCCCAUAACAUUCGAAGAGGCGUCUCUUUGGGUUGAAACUACCGGUGGUUAGUGGAGUGGGCGAUGCGUUGUAUUAGCUGGUUGGUGG